AGAACGAACGCUGGCGGCAUGCCUAAUACAUGCAAGUCGAACGAAGGCUUCGGCCUUAGUGGCGCACGGGUGCGUAACGCGUGGGAAUCUGCCCCUUGGUUCGGAAUAACAGUUGGAAACGACUGCUAAUACCGGAUGAUGACGAAAGUCCAAAGAUUUAUCGCCAAGGGAUGAGCCCGCGUAGGAUUAGCUAGUUGGUGAGGUAAAGGCUCACCAAGGCACGAUCCUUAGCUGUCUGAGAGGAUGAUCAGCCACACUGGGACUGAGACACGGCCCAGACUCCUACGGGAGCAGCAGUAGGGAACUAGUGGACAAUGGGCGAAAGCCUGAUCCAAGGCAAUGACCGCGUGAGUGAUGGAAGUCGUUAGGUAUAAGCUUACUUUACCGAGUA
rnacentral:rRNA from 1 species